rnacentral:rRNA from 1 species
AGAAUCAACGCUGGCGGCGUGCCUAACACAUGCAAGUCGAACGAGAAAGUGGAGCAAUCCAUGAGUAAAGUGGCGACCGGGUGAGUAACACGUGACUAACCUACCUUCGAGUGGGGGAUAACCUCGGGAAAUCUGGGCUAAUACCGCAUAAUACCUUCGGGUCAAAGGAGCAAUUCGCUUAAGGAGGGGGUCGCGGCCGAUUAGUUAGUUGACGGGGUAAUGGCCCACCAAGACUAUGAUCUGUA